ACACUAGGUAUAAUAAGUUGGCGCCACUGAAACUAAUAGGUAGUUACUUGUUUAUUUGUGCAUUUUCAAUAGUAUAAUUCAUUUAGCGUUUAAACUUUGCGGCUACAAUUUUACACUUGAUUGAAAUUUCAUGUUUAUUAAAAGAAUUUCAAAAACCUAGGUAAGUAUUUCUUUUCAAUGUUUUAGAAUUGAAUGUUAUAAAUGUAAUCAACGAUAUUAGAUAAAUCAAUUUAUAUACUAGUUUCAAUGUUUAAUAGUUAAUAAACCUAAAAUUGACCAAAAUGCAUAGAUUUUAUAGAGCUUGUUCUACUGUAUAAGCUCCUACUAUUUUUUUUU